AUGGAGGUGGCCAACGAUAUCUGGACAGCAGCUCUCGUCAUAGUUCAGAAGACUGACGAAACACCCUCUGCACUUGCUCCACCCAAAAUUCAGAUAGUUCUGAAUGAAUAUAAAGACGUCUUUGCUGAACCAACAACCUUGCGCUCGCGCCACCUGUAUGACCACAACAUUAAUCUGGAGCCGGGCACAACAUCGAUCAACACCAAGCCAUACCGCUACUCGCCGGUAUAGAAGGAUGUGAUUGAAUGACAAGUCCAAGAGAUGCUCAACUCAGGCCUCAUUCACAACAUGGGCCCCUACGCCUCACAUGUGCUGCUCAUGAAAAAUAAGGAUGGCAGCUGGAGUUUUUGUGUGGAUUUUCGACGCCUGAAUACUGCAAUAGUGAAGAAUAAGUUUCCACUUCCCGUUGUCGAUGAGCUGCUCGAUGAAAUGGCUGGGGCCAAAUAUUUAUCCAAUAUCGAUCUAUGCAUGGGGUACCAUCAACGCAUGCGGGAAGAAGACGAAGAGAAGAUUGCCUUCAAGACGCAUCACGGCCACUACCACUUUCGCUCCAUGCCGUUCGGCUUGUGCAAUGUGCCGGCUACAUUCCAGUGCUUGAUGAACACAAUCUUUGGUCGCUACGUCCGUAAGUUCAUAAUCAUCUUCCUGGACGACAUAUUGGUUUUUAGCAUUGACCUUCAAGAACACUAAGAACACUUGCGCCACACUCUGAACCUCCUCCGCGAGCAUCAACUAUUCGCCAAGGCCAGCAAGUGUUCAUUCGCACACACAAGCAUUGAGUACCUCGGGCAUGUGAUCACCCAAGACGUUGUCGCCACUGAUACAAGCAAGACCAGCGCCAUGUAGGCCUGGCUCGUGCCCGCGACACCCACUGAGCUGCAUGGAUUUCUAGUGUUAACAGACUACUACCGCAAAUUCGUCCCCCACUACGGCAUCAUCGCCAAGCCCCUUACUCAACUCCUCUCGAAGAAAGGCUUUCUCUGGAGCGACAAGGCGCAACAAGCGUUCGACAUGCUCAAGCAAGCCAUGGUGAGAACGCCGGUCUUGGUACUCCCCAACUUUACGCGCCCGUUCGCCAUCGAAACUGAUGCAUGAGACACUGGCGUGGUCGCGGUGCUCACCCAGGACGGCCACCCAGUCGCCUACCUCAGCAAGGCUCUGCGGGUGCCAAAUCAGAACCUUUCCACGUACGAGAAGAAUUUCUUGCCGUGA
rnacentral:rRNA from 1 species